GAUGAACGCUAGCGGCAGGCUUAAUACAUGCAAGUUGAGGGGCAGCAUGAUAUACGCGAGUAUAUUGAUGGCGACCGGCGGACGGGUGAGUAAUAGGUAGGAGACCUACCUCAUACAGGGGGAUAGCAUAGAGAAAUCUGUGGUAAUACCCCAUGAGGUUAUAUGAAUAGAGGCAUAUAAUCAAAGCAUAAGCGAUUAUGCGGUAUGAGAGGGGCCUACUGACCAUUAGCUAGUUGGUGAGGUAAGGGCUCACCAAGGCGAAGAUGGUUAGGGGUUUUGAGAGAGAGACCCCCCACAUUGGAACUGAGAGACGGUCCAGACUCCUACGGGAGGCAGCAGUAGGGAAUAUUGGGCAAUGGGCGAAAGCCUAGACCCAGCCAUGCCGCGUGAAGGGAAGACGGCCUUAUGGGUUGUAAACUUCUUUACUACGCGAAUAGAGGUUAGUACGAGAUACUAAUAGGAAGGUAGUGUAAGUAAAAGCAACCGGCUAACUCCGUGCC
rnacentral:rRNA from 1 species